rnacentral:lncRNA from 1 species
GCUCAUGGGAAAAAAAUGUCUCUCGGGCUGUGAGCAGUGAAUUGGCUUGUGCCCAAGUAAUGUCCUCAAGGUGUGCCAUGAGAGAUGAAGUCACUUGGCUCAUUUUACCAGCUUCAGGAUGGCAUUAAGACCUGACAAAGCCAGGCAACACGUACAAGGAAACUAACCUGAGGCAGGACCGUGGCACUGAAGGAGUCUCCCUGGAUGCAGCAAAGGUGGAGACCUUGUCCAAGAAAAAUGCUGGACGGGCCUUUACCCCAAAGAGGAAAGCUGGGUCAUGGAACAAGGAAAUGAAUUACAUCAAGUGAAAAUGCACAUCUGAUGCCCAGUCCAGACCAAGCACGUCUGUUCCUGCUGACUUCGAAUGAUUGUCAAGUGGCUGGACUCAGAUGUUAGCCGUCUGUCAUUGCUGCUAAUAACAUAUUCAUGUACAAAAACAACAGAGGGGUAUCUAGGCAGCUGGAGCCCUCUGUGUUCCGGACUACAGAUUCGGGGACCCAAAGAAAAUCUUUGUGUGGACUUUGGAGUUUCUCCCUGAAAUGUGCCAGGCGCCUGAGUCAGACACAAACACUCCCUUAGGACCUUCGUCAGAAACUCCACCCCUGUGUGGAAUCUCCUUCCUCUCUCUCUCUCCGGAGGAUGCCACCCGAAUUCGAAUGUGACUGUGUGUUUCUGCUGAGAGGUCCAUUGUCAUCCCCAGAUGAAAGAAGAGACCAAAGCAGUUACCACUGAUGGAAGCCAGUGAAGAUGGUUGGGGGAACUCCUUAACCUUUCUUGGAAUGUUUUGAACGAGGACGCUGGUCCUUUGCCAGUCAGGAACCAGCAGAGGAUGCUCCUGCUCUGAUCCCAGCCAGGGUGGAGAGUGCAGAGUCGGCCACAGGGCUCUCCGUGGAGGCUAUGGCUUCAGACAGGCCCCGAAGGUCUGUCACCAAUGUGCUCGGUUGUGGGUCACAUAACGCUCUCUGGAGGGCUUGCCUUUCAGCUUGGGAUCAUGAAAAGAUGAUUUGACGCUGUUUCUCAUGGUCUCCGACCUAAUAAAGCAAGAUAAGAGAAAACAAAUGUUAUUUUAAAAAAAUCACCCUUUGGCAAAAGAAACAUGUAAAAUUAGAAUCUGGCACAAACAAAACCUGAAUCUGGUUGUGAACUUUCACCACCCGCCGCAACUCUUUGAUAAAACCUCAAGUGAUAUCUAUUACCAUUGUAAAAAUAAAGCCUGCCCCUAUGCUUAGAAUGGGAGCGAGGGGUCAUAUGGUCAAGUCUAAGGGGAAGUGGGCAGUAAAUACAGGUUUUAAAUAAACUA